rnacentral:ncRNA from 2 species
CCAAUAGCGUAUAUUAAAGUUGUUGCAGUUAAAAAGCUCGUAGUUGAAUUUCGGGGUUAGUAGGUUGGUCAUGCCUCUGGUAUGUACUGGUCUCACUGAUUCCUCCUUCCUGAUGAACCUUAAUGCCAUUUAUUUGGUGUUUUGGGGAAUUUGGACUGUUACUUUGAAAAAAUUAGAGUGUUUAAAGCAAGCUAACGCUUGAAUACAUUAGCAUGGAAUAAUGAAAUAGGACGUUCGAUCCUAUUUUGUUGGUUUCUAGGAUUGACGUAAUGAUUAAUAGGGAUAGUUGGGGGCAUUAGUAUUCAAUUGUCAGAGGUGAAAUUCUUGGAUUUAUUGAAGACUAACUACUGCGAAAGCAUUUGCCAAGGAUGUUUUCAUUAAUCAAGAACGAAAGUUAGGGGAUCGAAGACGAUCAGAUACCGUCGUAGUCUUAACCAUAAACUAUGCCGACUAGGGAUCGGAUGAUGUUAAUUUUUUAAUGACUCAUUCGGCGCCUUACG